rnacentral:rRNA from 1 species
GACGAACGCUGGCGGCGUGCUUAACACAUGCAAGUCGAACGGAAAGGCCCUGCUUGCAGGGUACUCGAGUGGCGAACGGGUGAGUAACACGUGGGUGAUCUGCCCUUCACUUCGGGAUAAGCCUGGGAAACUGGGUCUAAUACCGGAUAGGAGCCAUUUUUAGUGUGAUGGUUGGAAAGUUUUUUCGGUGUAGGAUGAGCUCGCGGCCUAUCAGCUUGUUGGUGGGGUAAUGGCCUACCAAGGCGGCGACGAGUAGCCGGCCUGAGAGGGUGGACGGCCACAUUGGGACUGAGAUACGGCCCAGACUCCUACGGGAGGCAGCAGUGGGGAAUAUUGCACAAUGGGCGCAAGCCUGAUGCAGAGACGCCGCGUGGGGGAUGACGGCCUUCGGGUUGUAAACUCAUUUCGCUAGGGACGAAGCUUUUUGUGACGGUACCUAGAUAAGAAGCACCGGCUAACUACGUG